rnacentral:rRNA from 1 species
GCGGUGCAUUAGCUAGUUGGCAAGGUAAAGGCUUACCAAGGGCGAUGAUGCAUAGCCCGAGUUGAGAGACUGAUCGGCCACAUUGGGGACUGAGACACAGCCCAAACUCCUACGGGAGGCAGCAGUAGGGAAUCUUCCACAAUGGACGCAAGUCUGAUGGAGCAAACGCCGCGUGAGUGAAGAAGGUUUUCGGAUCGUAAAAAGCUCUGUUGUUGGUGAAGAAGGAUAGAGGUAGUAACUGGCCCUUUAUUUGACGGUAAUCAACCCAGAAAGUCGCGGGCUAACUACGUGCCCAGCAGCCGCGGUAAAU